rnacentral:lncRNA from 1 species
AUUUCUGAGGGUGACUCCUGACUCUGGCUGUGUCUGGUUUUCUUUUUUUAUUUCUUCUUCACCCUCAGAAGUCCAGCAUUCAGUAAUUCUGAUUCUUGCAGGAUCAAAAAAACUCAGAACGAAACAUGCAGAUUAUGAAAUGAUGUGGAUGGUUUCGUGCAAUUUGGAAUUGGGAAUCACACCUUACUGCAGAGCCUGGCCUGAUGUAAUGGCAGUUUGACAAGUGUCUUAUUCUGUUUGGGCUGCUGUCACAAGAUACCACCAACUGGGUAGCUCAUAAACCACAGACAUUGACUUCUCACCGUUCCGGAGACUGGAAGCCUGAGAUCCGUGUAUCAGCGUGGCCAGGUAAGGGCCAUCUUCUGGGUGCAGACUUCUUUUUGGAUCUUCACAUACUGGAAGGGAUGAGCUGGCUCUCCAGGGCGUGCUUAAUAAGAGUAUCAAUCCCAUUCCUGUGGGCUCUGCCCUCACGACCUCAUCACCUCCCAAAGGCCCCACCCCCUAAUGCUAUCACCUUGGGAAUUAGAUUUUCAACAUAGGAAUGUGGGGGGCGGGGGCAUAGACAUUUAGACCACAGCAGUAAGUUAUCCUGAGGUGGGGUUGGUGGCAUGAGAAGGUUUUUAGUGAUUGGAUUAUGAACAGUUCACUAAAACUCAGGGCCUUGGAGAGUUAGCAGUGGUGCCCAUGGAGGGAGGCUUUCAGGCCCUAAUUCAGCCCAACACUGGAUUGGGAAUGGUAGUGAAGAACUAGCAUAGACAAAUGGGAACACAGGGUCUCAGGCUGACUGAGGCCCACACUUAGGGAAGCAGAGGAUGGCCACAGAUGCCUUGUGAGAAGUUUAUGGCAAUUCUCAGUUCUCUGACAGCGGUAAUAACCCUCCUGAUCUAUGCCCAGCUGCCCAAAGCAUCCAUCCAGAUGUGUGCUCCAGCAUUUGGCUCACUUGUUAAGCUUCUUCCCAUUAACUGCACAGUCUCUGC